ensembl:lncRNA
UUAUAUAUUAUUCAUUAAUUAAUUCACAAUCAAAAUGUUUUAAUGGAGAAGAGUGUCGUGCCUCCACCACUUUUUAUGGGUCAUUUAAUAUCAUAGAAUGUAAAAAGUGAACAGCCCGCUAUACAAGCAUUUAGCUAGGUAUUACUGUUGGAGCUAGAAACACAAGCAUUUAGCUAGGUAUUACUGUUGGAGCUAGAAACACAAGCAUUUAGCUAGGUAUUACUGUUGGAGCUAGAAACACAAGCAUUUAGCUAGGUAUUACUGUUGGAGCUAGAAACACAAGCAUUUAGCUAGGUAUUACUGUUGGAGCUAGAAACACAAGCAUUUAGCUAGGUAUUACUCUAAUGUUGGAGCUAGAAACACAAGCAUUUAGCUAGGUAUUACAGUACUGUUGGAAACACAAGCAUUUAGCUCAGUACUGUUGGAACACACAGAAUUUAUCUAG